UUCAACUCUGACUUGUAACAUAUUAAAUUUUCAAUUUAUAAUAUCAAUUUUAAAUACAAAGGACCGUUAUAUUAUUAUAUUAUAUUUAAUAUUUAAUAAAAUAAAAAAAUAAAAUUACAAUACAAUAAUCUAUCUAUAUCUAUAUCUAUAUCUAUAUAAUCCUAAUUUGUGAAUACAAACAAGAUUGCAAAAGACCUGUUUUGCCCUUACCAAUUUUUUUCCCAUAGUAGUUCCCAAGGGCUUAUGAGUAAUUCCACAAACAAAAUGGAGCAACCCGAUGAAAACGGGUCCUGACCCGGAGCAUUUAGCAGUGUAUUCCUUCAUGAUUUUCCGGAAGAUCCGAACUUCGACGGGUCAGUACGUUUUUUUUUUUUGAAUAUUUUCAGUUGUGACAACUGACAACCCAUGAUUUCAGCAGUCAGUUACUACGUUCAUUUCAAAAUUGUGCACACAUGUGAACCCGCUUCCUACUGCGACCUCCCUUUCUCCUCAUUCCGACCCACACUGAACUUAUUGACCAGGAUAAUGGUCGUAAGCGCAUCUAUUUAGGUGAGGUUUCGCCUUUGUCCUUCAGAACUGGCCAGCAUAGAAGGUGUUUGUAGGCCUGUCACUCUAAUGCACAAGAAAGUCAGAGUGCUGGGAUUGGCCAACCACCAGCGUGUGAGAACGUUGAUCCGAACAGAGCUACCAGGACAACUACUGAGAUUGGUUCACAAUUUGGUAAUUCUACUGUUGCUAUUAAAACAACCAAGAUCUUCUCGAACGAUACCCAAUGUUCAGGUUCUGGCAUUACACAUGGCACAUGGUCCAGGCCCGUGAACUAGAGUGGUGCAUUCAAACUCCAAACUCAAACACAAGGUUCCGGCACAACACAUGCUACAUCACAAAGCAAGGUAAACCAAACUGGCGUAUCUGUUGCUGAUCUUAAUGUUAUUUUUUGAACUCACGCCAUCACAGAGGAGGCUACCUUAAACACAAGUCAUAUCUGCAGAACUUAGUUUCCAGCGACCCAUGUCACAACUCAUACAAACUGCUGGACGCAGUGGCACUACCAGUUUUCAGUACAAUAAGCUCACGGUUAGUACACCUUCUGAUUUUCAGUACAAUAAACCUAGAAGUGUUGGCCAUGCAUCAAGAUAAAGGAGACGUCCCUACAGAACCCAUCUUUUGCUGCUAAUAGGUGUAGGCAGAACAACACCGGUUCGUGAUGUGUCUUCAAAGCAUGACAACACAUGUUCCAGGAAUCCAAUUACUUUUCCACCUACGUGCUCUGUAACGUGCAAAGAUUAUGCAAAUCCGGCCCAGAUGCCAGAGACUCGAAUAAAGAUAUUGUGGGGGCUCGGACAUGUUGCAGAGAUGGUGUGGUACAACCAGAGGUUGUUGAGGCUGUUGGAUUGGAGGCACCAAGCUGUUGUAAGCAACAGCUAUGUCAACAAAAUGCUAUUCAUUGAGUCAGACUAUUUGUAAUUAAGUCAGGCUAUUCCAUAUCGACAGGUUGUUAGGAAUAGAAAUUCUAUGAAGUCAUAUUUUGGGGUGGUUGUGGAGAAAUAUUUGUGUUUACUAGAAACAGCCUCCAUUGUGUAUUUUUUUGUAACACCACCUGUAAAUGGAUGAUGAUUCAUUGCUUAGCAUCCCUGGUCGUAUGUUUGAAGGGAGUGAUGUUCCCUUUAAAAUAAUAGUAUAAAAAUGAUGAUUAGUUUUCUAUUAUUAUUUUAACCUUUCUGUUUAUCAA